GGAUUGUGGCUUAGCGGUAGAGCGCUCGCCUAGCACGAGCGGGGACCCAGGUUCGAUCCUCAGCACCA
rnacentral:tRNA from 1 species